rnacentral:rRNA from 1 species
UACGAAGGUGGCAAGCGUUGUUCGGAUUCACUGGGCGUAAAGGGUGCGUAGGUGGUGAGGUAAGUCGGAUGUGAAAGCUCGGAGCUCAACUCCGAAAUGGCAUUGGAAACUACCUUGCUCGAGGGUUGGAGGGGGGACUGGAAUACUUGGUGUAGCAGUGAAAUGCGUAGAUAUCAAGUGGAACACCAGUGGCGAAGGCGAGUCCCUGGACAACUCCUGACACUGAGGCACGAAAGCUAGGGGAGCAAACAGG